UACGAAGGGGACUAGCGUUGUUCGGAAUCACUGGGCGUAAAGCGCACGUAGGCGGAUAUGUCAGUCAGGGGUGAAAUCCCGGGGCUCAACCUCGGAACUGCCCUUGAUACAGCAUAUCUUGAGUCCGAUAGAGGUGGGUGGAAUUCCUGGUGUAGCGGUGAAAUGCGCAGAUAUCAGGAGGAACACCGGUGGCGAAGGCGGGUCUCUGGAACGCAACUGACGCUGAGACGCGAAAGCGUGGGGAGCAAACAGG
rnacentral:rRNA from 1 species